CUCUGCCUCCCGUGCCUACUGAGCUGAAACACA
rnacentral:misc_RNA from 1 species